GACAGAGGAGGCGAGCGUUAUCCGGAGUCAUUGGGCGUAAAGGGUACGUAGGCGGCUAGUCAAGUCUGAGGUUAAAGACCACAGCUUAACUGUGGGAAGGCCUUGGAAACUGACUGGCUAGAGUGUGGCAGGGGUUGCGGGAAUUCCCGGUGUAGCGGUGAAAUGCGUAGAUAUCGGGAAGAACACCUGAGGCGAAAGCGCGCAACUGGGCCCUAACUGACGCUGAGGUACGAAAGCUAGGGGAGCGAAUGGG
rnacentral:rRNA from 1 species